rnacentral:misc_RNA from 1 species
CAGGUAGCAUUCCUCGCUGACAAUACCCGACGGGGCACGCAAAUGCCACGGCGAGAGUCGUUCAGUUGGGGCAAAAAUAGCUAGUUUCGGGCCAAGGCGAGACAUUGCUGUCGUACCCGAAUGCAUCUUCCGCAUCCGAGAGCUCAAGCGAUAAUUCAUGGGCCACAAAAACAACGAUUGCGAUUCGAGUUACGUGGGACACAAAGGACGCUUCGAGGUUCACCGCGUCGAAUGCCCAUAACGAAAUGGGUAGACGCCGGUGAAUGAUACACGAAUUGGCAACAUAAUUCCGUAUAGUAGGCAUGCAACACAGGAAACCAACGAAAACGUUCGGCCAAGGCAAGCCGCUCUUGCACCACCAAAUGAAGAGGAGAGCACGGCCGGCCGUCUUUGCCCAAGCAAUGAUCCAAC